rnacentral:rRNA from 1 species
CACGUAGGGCGCAAGCGUUGUCCGGAAUUAUUGGGCGUAAAGAGCCCGUAGGUGGUUUGUUACGUCUGCUGUGAAAACCUAGGGCUUAACCCUGGGCUUGCAGUGGAUACGGGCAGACUAGAGGUAGGCAGGGGAGAGCGGAACUCCUGGUGUAGCGGUGGAAUGCGCAGAUAUCAGGAAGAACACCGGUGGCGAAGGCGGCUCUCUGGGCCUUACCUGACGCUGAGGAGCGAAAGCAUGGGGAGCGAACAGG